rnacentral:rRNA from 1 species
UACGUGAGGGCAAGCGUUGUUCGGAAUCACUGGGCGUAAAGCGCGUGUAGGCGGCUAUCUAAGUCUGAUGUGAAAGCCCUGGGCUCAACUCAGGAAGUGCAUUGGAUACUGGAUAGCUGGAGUACCGGAGAGGAGGGUGGAACUGCGAGUGUAGAGGUGAAAUUCGUAGAUAUUCGCAAGAACACCAGUGGCGAAGGCGGCUCACUGGCCCGGUACUGACGCUGAGGUGCGAAAGCGUGGGGAGCAAACAGG